CCAAUUUUUGCGCCGCCAGGUUGCGCAAAUUUCUCGCCGGAGUUCCGAUCUGCAACCACCAUUGUUGGAGCUCGGAGAGCACUGGGACGCCGGUAAUUCCUCGCCGGAGUUUUCGCCGGAGUUCACCAUCGCCCGGAGCUCCAUUCGCCCGUAGCUGCCACCCGAGAGAGAGGAACACGACGGAAAAGACACCACUGUGACCGCUAUUGUCCGCUGCAUCUCGACGUCCACUUCGCCGCCAAAAACCGUCGGAACCGUCGCCAAGUUCAUCGUCUGAGCCGCCGUCGCCACCGUCAUCCAUUGAUUCCGAUUGCCCGGAGUGCAACGAUUGCGACUGCAACGAUUGUCUGAACAACACCCAAGG